AAACUGUGACAGGUUGAAGAACCUAUUUUCAUUCUCCAUUUUUAGAGGCCUUGUGGAACUUCAAGAAAUCAAAAUAACUGAUUGCAAGGUCAUGCAUGAAAUUGUGACUAUGGAAGGAGAGGAUGAUAUCGGCGAAAAGGAAACAAGUGCAGAGAUUCAAUUUCUGCAUUUACACUCAUUGGAACUAGAAUGUCUACCAGAGCUCAAGAGUUUCUGCUCCAAAGUGAUGGAGGCUUCCAUAUCUCCAUUGAGGAAGACGCUACCAGCAAAAGACCAGUGUUCUGAACAAACAAUUUUGGAGAAUGAGCUAGAUAGUUCCACACCACUUUUCAGUGACAA
rnacentral:misc_RNA from 1 species